AUUGAACGCUGGCGGCAUGCCUUACACAUGCAAGUCGAACGGCAGCGCGGGAGCAAUCCUGGCGGCGAGUGGCGAACGGGUGAGUAAUAUAUCGGAACGUGCCCAGUAGUGGGGGAUAGCCCGGCGAAAGCCGGAUUAAUACCGCAUGAGACCUGAGGGUGAAAGCGGGGGAUCGCAAGACCUCGCGCUAUUGGAGCGGCCGAUAUCAGAUUAGCUAGUUGGUGGGGUAAAGGCCUACCAAGGCAACGAUCUGUAGUUGGUCUGAGAGGACGACCAGCCACACUGGGACUGAGACACGGCCCAGACUCCUACGGGAGGCAGCAGUGGGGAAUAUUGGACAAUGGGGGCAACCCUGAUCCAGCCAUGCCGCGUGAGUGAAGAAGGCCCUCGGGUUGUAAAGCUCUUUUGUCCGGAAAGAAAAGCAAUCGGUUAAUACCCGGUUGUUCUGACGGUACCGGAAGAAUAAGCACCGGCUAACUUCGUGCCAGCAGCCGCGGUAA
rnacentral:rRNA from 1 species